CGCUGUCGAUGACAGCCGCCAAUGUUUCCAGUAUCAGGAUGAUACGAGUGACCCGUGAGAAACGCCUUCGGGUGGUCACAACGCCAAAGUCAUAGGGAAUGGAGCGUGGUCUGAGACUGACGCCUGCGGGUGACCACAAACACUUCCGUAGCCUGCAAGGAAGAACACGCACAGUUGCGUUGUGA
rnacentral:sRNA from 1 species